GGAUUCGAUCGAUAUCGAUAAUUUUCAUAGAUCCAAUACUUUCCCUUUAUUUCCAUCAAAUUUCUGUUCUUGAAUCCUAAACAUUAGAUUUUGAUUCUGAUCCUUCGUUUUUUUCUCAAAUGGCCACUGAAGAUCCGGUUGCGGCUGUCGAGGUCAAUACUGAACCGGCCACCACUGAAACUGUCGAGGAAGCACCGGCUACCAAGACCGGUAAGACCAAGAAGGCCAAGGAACCCAAAGCCAAAAAAGCC
rnacentral:misc_RNA from 1 species